GAGGGAGGCUGGCUCAUCUAAUCAAAAGAGCUUUAAACUAGGAAUUUGGGGGAGAUGGUUGGGAGAUGUCCAGUUAAUCUCCACACCAGAUUAUAACAUUGAGAGGGAGGAUGAUGAGAUAAGAACGGAUAUAGCCAGGGGGAAGAGAUUGGACAUAAGGAGGAGGGGGGGGAUGGAUACUUGACUAAUAGGUCAUACUGGCAGUACGGUGUCCAUACCAAAUUGGAUAACGAAUGUGAGAGAGGCCAAACGGCAUAAAUUAAGAUGUUUAUACACCAAUGCGAGAAGCCUAGGUAACAAAAUGGAGGAAUUGGAGCUCCUGGUCCGAGAAAUGAAACCGGAUAUCGUAGGAAUAACCGAAACGUGGAGGAAUGGUAGUCAUGACUGGAGUACAGGUAUGGAAGGGUAUGUGCUGUUUAGGAAAGACCGGAACAAAGGUAAAGGUGGGGGAGUAGCAUUGUAUGUCAAUAAUGAGGUAAACUGUAAAGAAAUAAUAAGUGAUGGAAUGGAUAAGACGGAGUCUGUCUGGGCAAUACUUACAUUGGGUAAAAGAACUACUAGAGCCUCCCCUGGGAUACUGUUUGGGGUGUGCUAUAGACCGCCGGGAUCUAGCCUGGAUAUGGACAGAGAACUCUUUAAUGUUUUUAGGGAAGUAAAUACUAAUAGGAACUGUGUAAUCAUGGGAGACUUUAACUUCCCGGAUAUAGAUUGGGGAACAAAUGCUAGUAACAAUAAUAGGGCUCAGAUUUUCCUAGACGUGAUAGCUGAUGAAUUCCUUCAUCAAGUAGUUGCUGAACCAAUGAGGGGGGAUGCCAUUUUAGAUUUGGUUUUGGUGAGUAGUGAGGAUCUCGUUGAGGAAAUGGUUGUAGGGGACAACCUUGGCUCGAGUGAUCAUGAGCUAAUUCGGUUUAAACUAAAUGGAAAGAUUAACAGAAUUAAAUCGGAGACUAAGGUUUACGAUUUCAAAAGGGCUAACUUUAAUAAAUUAAGGGGACUAGUUAGGGAAGUGGAUUGGACUAACAUAUUUAGGGAUCUAAAGGCGGAAGGAGCCUGGGAUUAUUUCAAGUUGAAGUUGCAGGAGCUGUCGGAGGCCUGUAUCCCGAGAAAGGGAAAACGGUUCGUAGGCAGGAGAUUUAGACUGAGCUGGAUGAGCG
ensembl:lncRNA